UACAGAGACUGCAAGCGUUAUUCGGAUUCACUGGGCGUAAAGGGUGCGCAGGCGGUUGGGUGUGUCAGAUGUGAAAUCCCGAGGCUCAACCUCGGAACUGCGUCUGAAACUACUCGACUAGAGUACUGGAGAGGGAAACGGAAUUCACGGUGUAGCAGUGAAAUGCGUAGAUAUCUGGAGGAACACCGGUGGCGAAGGCGGCGUUCUGGACUGCAACUGACACUGUAAAACGAAAGCCAGGGGAGCAAACGGG
rnacentral:rRNA from 1 species